rnacentral:rRNA from 1 species
AUACGGAGGGUGCAAGCGUUAAUCGGAAUUACUGGGCGUAAAGAGUACGUAGGUGGUUUGUUAAGUCAGAUGUGAAAGCCCCGGGCUCAACCUGGGAACUGCAUUUGAAACUGGCAAACUAGAGUAUGGUAGAGGGGGGUAGAAUUUCUAGUGUAGCGGUGAAAUGCGUAGAUAUUAGAAGGAAUACCAGUGGCGAAGGCGGCCCCCUGGACCAAUACCGACACUGAGGUACGAAAGCGUGGGUAGCGAACAGGAUUAGAUACCCUAGUAGUCC